rnacentral:rRNA from 1 species
GAUGAACGCUGGCGGCGUGCCUAAUACAUGCAAGUCGAGCGAACGGACGAGAAGCUUGCUUCUCUGAUGUUAGCGGCGGACGGGUGAGUAACACGUGGAUAACCUACCUAUAAGACUGGGAUAACUUCGGGAAACCGGAGCUAAUACCGGAUGAUAUUUUGAACUGCAUGGUUCAAAAGUGAAAGACGGUCUUGCUGUCACUUAUAGAUGGAUCCGCGCUGCAUUAGCUAGUUGGUAAGGUAACGGCUUACCAAGGCAACGAUGCAUAGCCGACCCGAGAGGGUGAUCGGCCACACUGGAACUGAGACACGGUCCAGACUCCUACGGGAGGCAGCAGUAGGGAAUCUUCCGCAAUGGGCGAAAGCCUGACGGAGCAACGCCGCGUGAGUGAUGAAGGUCUUCGGAUCGUAAAACUCUGUUAUUAGGGAAGAACAUAUGUGUAAGUAACUGUGCACAUCUUGACGGUACCUAAUCAGAAAGCCACGGCUAACUACGUG